rnacentral:rRNA from 1 species
GACGAACGCUGGCGGCGUGCCUAAUACAUGCAAGUCGAACGCAGUGGGGACGGGUGAGUAACACGUGGGUAACCUCCCAUCAGAGGGGAUAACACUUGGAAACAGGUGCUAAACCGAUAUUGAAGGAUGGACACGCGGUGCAUUAGCUAGUUGGGGCGGUAACGGCUCAACAAGGCCACGAUGCAUAGCCGACCGGAGAGGGUGAGCGGCCAAACUGGAACUGAGAAACGGCCCAGACUCCUACGGGAGGCAGCAGUAGGGAAUCUUCCGCAAUGGACGAAAGUCUGAUCGAGCAACGCCGCGUGAGUGAAGAAGGUUUUCGGAUCGUAAAAUUCUGUUGUUAGAGAAGCGGUAUCUACACAGAAAGCCACGGCUAACUACGUGCCAGCAGCCGCGGUAAUAC